rnacentral:tRNA from 1 species
CCGGAUAUAGCUCAGUUGGUAGAGCGAUUGACUGUAGAUCAAUUGGUCGUGUGUUCAAUUCACACUGUCCGGA